AGUGGCGGACGGGUGAGUAACACGUGGGAACGUGCCUUUAGGUUCGGAAUAAGCCCGGGAAACUGGGUCUAAUACCGGAUGUGCCCUUCGGGGGAAAGAUUUAUCGCCUUUAGAGCGGCCCGCGUCUGAUUAGCUAGUUGGUGGUGUAAUGGACCACCAAGGCGACGAUCAGUAGCUGGUCUGAGAGGAUGAUCAGCCACAUUGGGACUGAGACACGGCCCAAACUCCUACGGGAGGCAGCAGUGGGGAAUCUUGCGCAAUGGGCGAAAGCCUGACGCAGCCAUGCCGCGUGAAUGAUGAAGGUCUUAGGAUUGUAAAAUUCUUUCACCGGGGACGAUAAUGACGGUACCCGGAGAAGAAGCCCCGGCUAACUUCGUGCCAGCAGCCGCGGUAAUACGAAGGGGGCUAGCGUUGCUCGGAAUUACUGGGCGUAAAGGGAGCGUAGGCGGACAUUUAAGUCAGGGGUGAAAUCCCGGGGCUCAACCUCGGAACUGCCUUUGAUACUGGGUGUCUUGAGUGUGAUAGAGGUAUGUGGAACUCCGAGUGUAGAGGUGAAAUUCGUAGAUAUUCGGAAGAACACCAGUGGCGAAGGCGACACACUGGCCCGUUACUGACGCUGAGGCGCGAAAGCGUGGGGAGCAAACAGGAUUAGAUACCCUGGUAGUCCACGCCGUAAACGAUGAUUGCUAGUUGUCGGAG
rnacentral:rRNA from 1 species